rnacentral:rRNA from 1 species
UCGCGACCCGUUGGGCGCCGGCCUAAGGACCGCGGUGGAGACCGGACUCGCCCUCGGGCGAGUGCGGACCCGCGGCCACCCGGCCGGUCCGACCGACGGUAUAACUAAGGCGCGGGGCCGCGAUUCGUUCGCGUCCGGCACGUCGCAAGCGCGAACGGUUAAAGCGGGCCGUCCGGGCCUCGUACCGGAUCCCGACCCGUUCGGCUGUUAGCGGCGCAGUCCUCGGACAGACCCCGCGCCAGUCCGCGGCGCUAUAGCUUUGGGUACUUUCAGGACCCGUCUUGAA